rnacentral:rRNA from 1 species
AGCAGCCGCGGUAAUUCCAGCUCCAAUAGCGUAUAUUAAAGUUGUUGCAGUUAAAAAGCUCGUAGUUGAAUUUCGGGAUCGAAUUGUUGGUCGUGCUUCGGUACGCACUGGCAUUAUCGGUUUCUACCUUCUGAAGAACCGCGAUGUCAUUAAUUUGGUGUCGUGGGGAAUCAGGACUGUUACUUUGAAAAAAUUAGAGUGUUUAAAGCAGGCUUACGCUUGAACACAUUAGCAUGGAAUAAUGAAAUAGGACGUUUGAUUCUAUUUUGUUGGUUUCUAGGAUCGACGUAAUGAUUAAUAGGGAUAGUUGGGGGCAUUAGUAUUCAAUUGUCAGAGGUGAAAUUCUUGGAUUUAUUGAAGACUAACUACUGCGAAAGCAUUUGCCAAGGAUGUUUUCAUUAAUCAAGAACGAAAGUUAGGGGAUCGAAGACGAUCAGAUACCGUCGUAGUCUUAACCAUAAACUAUGCCGACUAGGGAUCGGAUGAUGUUAAUUUUAUAAUGACUC